GAGGGAAUGAACAGUACCAAAACACCCUGGCACUCUUCAUUGGACCAUACAUAAACAGAUCCAUUGAUGGCCACGUUAUCCCCACAUGUCUCUCAAUACCUCCACCGCUUCAUCUUCGAUUUAUCCUUCAACAAUCUUUGCCUCAAUAUCUCCAACGGGUGACUGAACUCUCUCACGACAGCCGCUAACCCGGCGACUCUAGCGACGAUGGUGACUGAUGGUGGUCUAACCGAAGAUGACCUAGGGCUCCACUGCAAACCCUAUUGGUGGUGGUUUAUCUUCGUCGUUCGCCGGAAUUUACAGCGGUUUGUACGGUGGCUAUGGCUGCGAUUCCGUAUCACAGAAAACAUUCAUCAUUUAUUAAAUGUGGUUGCUAUUGUGGCUGCUGCAAAAGGCCAUUGAAGAUAAACUAGCUGCUUGUAAUUGCCUCAAGUCGGCUUCGAGAAGCCUAAACCCAAAUCCAGCGCUAGCUAAAACACUUCCUGGAAAUUGUGGGAUCAGUUUGGGUUUCACCAUGUCAGCUAACAUUGAUUGCACCAAGUAAAUUGCUAAUCUCCUUUUGUAGAUAUAGACAGAAGAAUUAGCAUAGUAAUUGGUUACACAGAUGGAUAUUGAUUCAUCUGAAUAUGACCAUAUGUCAUCAUUAAGAUCUGUCAAUUUUUACUAAGAACCAUUUGUGUUAAUUUUACUUUAGAUUGUUUAGAUUUGUUUCGUAUUGUUGCAUUUUGAAAAACCUAAUUUUGUCACAGUGAGAUUUUAGGUUACUUUGUAGUAUCUAUUUUCGGAUUGCUGUUGUUAAUAUUAAUAAGCUUCAAGUCAUCCGGUACCUCGUCAGCUCAUCUCCAUUGUAGAUCGUCUUCAUAGAAACUUUCACCGAUCGACUCUAAUUUUAAGUUGAUUUUGAUACAUUCGCCUUUAGGAUGUUGCUGCGCAACCAAAACCGACGCCAAUCAGGUGUAAUCAUCUCGGUUUCUGUCAAUAUUAGGUUUACCAGAUCGUAUCUGACUUAAUUUGAUUUGUGAUUGUUUUGGUGGAUUAGAUGGUGAUGAUGAACGGGUUGGAUUCCGGUAAGAUAAUACUCUGUCGUCGUUGUGUAAUUUUACCCAAAUCUGGGUGUUUCCGAUUAAUGGCAAUGCGACAUCAUUUGUUUUGGGGAAGUUAGGGGAUAAUAAAUGAUAGUGUGUUUGUGGAGGAUUCGAUGCUAUGUUGAACGGUGUACCAUCUUUAUUAUUCGGGGAUGUCUCUACUCAGCAAGAUAUAGGGAAAUUAGAUUGGAUGUAGAUAUUGACGACCAUGAAAAUAAACAAGCCGAGUGGUCCAUUUCUAUAGGCAUAUACUGUUGGUAACCUUUUUUUGGAGAGCCACAAAAGGCCAUGGAUGAAUACCCGGCACAAAUCGCAACUUUGGUGAAAGAAGACGAGUAUUCGAAGAUUAGCUGUCGACUUUUACAUAUAUUCCGUAUAAUUUAUAAACUUCGUAUAAAAUCAUAUUUUUAUUGACCGAUGGAGAUGCUUUUUUUUUGUUAUAAAUGUAUAUGAGUCUACUUCAUUUAAGUUUUAAACGUAAAUAAUGAUUAUAAAUUUUAUUAUGGUCAAAGCUGUGUAAUACAACAUGCUAUAUUUGUUGGAUGAAAUGGGGCAGGGAUGAUAUCGCCAUAUCGGUAUGGUUUUGAUGUCGAACCUCAAAAAAUCAUUUUUGGGAUACCAUUGUUAGUCACAACAGUUUCUUUAAAACACUCAAGCUAAAUUUUAUAAGACUAAGAUUCUAUUCUAUGGUUCCACAGAUUCGUACUUCUUUUUAUAAAAGGGAGGACGAGGAACCAAUUGACGAGAAGAAUUACUUUGAAGAAUUAUGCAAGCCCAGGUGUGUUCAAGCUUGGCAUGAGUCUCAGAGGAUAAACAUGAGAAAGAUAAACCGAUCAAAAGAUUUGGAGUUGCUGAUUCUGUUUAAAGAAGUGAUGAAAAUGGAGGGCUUGCAUUUCUCUUGAGAGAUGCAGGUUCGACUCCCACUUGGUGCAGGGUGAGGCACUGGUGGCAAUGAUAGGAGACCCAGGGAAACCUGGGUUGGAUCCUUGAGCCAAACGGGUUUUACCGGUAAUUUCACUGUCGUGCCUACGGGCGGGUGAGUUACCGGCUUUUCCCCGGAAUUGGUGGUGGACUCGGGUUACUCUCGGAGUACUCUGUUUGUCCAGUGGGUGUCCCGAGAGUGCUCGGGAUUGAGUUUGUUGGCCGUUCAAAAAAAAAAGAAGUGAUGAAAAUGGAUCUUUUAUCACACUUAUUGUGUCAAAUUAAAGAACCGGAAAUUGAUCAUCACAGGUUUGGUUAUGCUUACAUACAUCUACAAAUGGAAUUAAUCGAACUGCAAUGAUUCUCCUUUAGUGCUUUCACACAUGAUUGGUGUAUUUGGCCAGCGAAUGAUAAAACUCCCCCAUCCAAGAAAGGCGAGAACCAUGGCAGCAGCUAGAACAUCAAACACCUAUUUAUCAACAAGAACCAGGAACCAACAUUUUUCUAACAACUGAUGUAUUGUGAAUGCAAAUAUAAAACCCCCAUCCCACUGCCAAGACAAAAAUACCAAACGCUUGCGCAACGCAAGAUAAGCAGAUCUCCGUGUCCAAGGUUUUGGAAGAUAUAAAAGUUUUGGCGUUUAUGUGCGUCAAAAGCCAAUCAAAGGCUGCUGCUCUCUUUGGGAUAUUUGGUGUAGGUUUAGCUUGGAAUGUCUAAAGUGAUAAGGUGGGAUGUAGUUGUUGUUGUCAGGUUUUGUGGUUGCUGGCUUCUCCAGUUUUGAUGCUACUGUUGUAGUUUUUUUUGUUGGAUGUAAUAGUUAGCUUUCUACAACCUCUUUUGGUUUUGUAAUAAAAAAUUCCGUCGGUUUUAGUUCGAGUUACUUUUUGUUA